rnacentral:tRNA from 1 species
AGGCGCGUAGCUCUGUCCGGUUAGAGCGCCUGCUUGACACGCAGGAGGUCGGCGGUUCGAGUCCGCCCGUGCCUACCA